GCCUAGGCUGUGGUGUGUAUGUGUGAAAAGCAUCAAAACUGACAUAACUGACAAUUAUCUAAUGACUUUAAUUGAACCAAAAAAAUAAAAAAAAUGAGAAAUACAAAGUGAACUGAAGAACUAUUGAAAACCAAUUGCAAAGUAUUAACAUAUAAACAAACAAAUCAAUUAACUAUAUCAGUGGUUCUCAACCACAUUCCUGGAGGACCCCCAACACUGCACAUUUUGCAUGUCUCCUUUGUCUGACACAUCCAUUUCAAGUCUGUGAGUCUAAUGAGCAGGUGACCUGAAUCAGGUGUGUUUGAUUAAGGAGACAUGCAAAAUGUGCAGUGUUGGGGGUCCUCCAGGAUGUGGUUGAGAACCACUGAACUAUAUUAUGCAAGCACAAAAAAUUUAACAGCUGAACAAAUAAUCUUUUAAUAAUGGGGUAAAAAAAACUACUCCCUUAACCUAUUAAAUAUUAACCUAUAUCAUUUAAGUUCUAGUCUUCGAUGCUUAGCACCCGGUUGUUCAUAUGUUUUAUUUUCAUUUUUAUUGGCAGCUGUUCCACAAGGUCCUCAACGUCUCCUGAAUACAUUGUGUCUGGGACAAUGUACUCCUCAUAAUCGACCCCCAGAAGCACGAUCACGCCCAUUCCGGAAGACACUCCGAUCACCUCCACCGUCUCCUCAAUGAGCCGCCUUUCUGAAACCUGUGUUUUUACAGGCAUGUUUAAAUAAGCUCUGUUAUUAACAUUACUUCUCACUUUGUCUUCCUCAGUCUCUCUCACAUUCUUUUAACCCCCCACAUGCACACACACUGGGGCUCGAGUUUGAGAGAGACUGAUUUAAAGAAAUAAUAUUAUGCAUUACAUAGUGUACCUUUACGGUGGUGUAUGUGGAAGAAUUGAAUUUAAUGUUUCCAUUCGGUUUAGUGUUUGGGCGGAGGUGGGUCAGCUCCACAGUGUCUCCAUUUAACACCUCGAUAAGAGCCUCAUCUCUCCACAGAGAAACCUCAACUGCUCUUGAGUUGCAGUUUAGCUUAAAGUCCAGGACGGGCACUUUACCAAAUUGCACCUGUGCCAUCCUCACCUCCUGCAACUACAAAUCACAUACCAGAGGAGACUGACGUACCCAUCUUCUGAAGGGUCCACUUUGUCCACGGAGACCAGAGGGGAAUGUGGAACAAGGAUCUCUCUGGCCCUUCUCUCCUGAUCUUCAUUGUUUAAUCAGUGGGUCACAGUUGUUCCUGCUAUACUCACCAUUCUUCGAUGAAAUGCUACUGCCUUUCUUGUGACACGUGUGGCAACGCAUUUACAUUUCAGUGGCUCCGGACGGCUGUAUGGACUGCAUGUUGCCAUUGUGAUGCUAAGAACAAAUACACAGAAAGGAGUAGUCAGUGAGUCGAGUGAGAGGGGGUCAGUGGGCCAGUGGUCUUAAACUUGGCAGUGGUCCAAUCAGAUGACGUCACCGAGGCGCAUAGUAACAAGAGGUAUAUCUGAUGCCUCCCGGAAUAAUUAAAAAAAAAAUAAUAAUAAUAAUAAUUGUAUGUAUUUAUUAAAUUUUUUUUUUAGUGAUUUGUGUUAUAAUGUAUUUAAAUAACUUAUUUAUUUGUAUGUUAAAUGUAUUUAUUAUUAAGAAAUUAUUUAUUAUAUAUUAUUAGAAUAAUGCAUGUAUUAAAAUUUAUUUUAAAUGAACAUUUUAAAUGAACUUGUUUUUAAUGAAUUUACUUUUUUAUAAAAAUGUUUUUAAAUUGACUUUUAUGUAUUGAAAUGAACUUACUUUCCCCCCAAUAAAACCGGUCCCUAGUUGACUGAUUCAUUUACUCAAUAUUUU
ensembl:lncRNA